AGAUUCAAGGGUUUACUCAGAACAUCAUGAAUAGAAAAGGAUUGAUAGCUAAAACAUUCAAAGUCUUACAAAGAACCCAAAGCAAAAGGGGUUUUAGCCAAGCAUGGCUAUGAAAUCCAUACAAGAAGAUAAAGAUGAAACCUGAAACAUAGGGCUUAGGGAAAGCUCCUCAAGCUCUAGAACUCAAACCCUCUCUUCUAACUUAUGAAAAUAUGAUAAAAUGACGUUCCAAAAGAAAUGACAAAAAGCCUAUUUAUAGGCAAACAGGUUGAGUCUGGGCGCUCAGGCGCCAAUUAAGCACGCCUGAGCGCCAAUUCCAAGCCAAAACAAGCUCUCUGGAGGUAAUUGGCGCUCAGGCGCUCAAUCAAGAGCGCUCAGGCGCCAAUUCCUUUCUAGCAUCAUGUAAACAUCGAUCCAAUUGGCGCUCAGGCGC
rnacentral:lncRNA from 1 species